rnacentral:rRNA from 1 species
UACGUAGGGUGCAAGCGUUAAUCGGAAUACUGGGCGUAAAGCGUGCGCCAGGCGGUUAUAUAAGACAGUUGUGAAAUCCCCGGGCUCAACCUGGGAACUGCAUCUGUGACUGUAUAGCUAGAGUACGGUAGAGGGGGAUGGAAUUCCGCGUGUAGCAGUGAAAUGCGUAGAUAUGCGGAGGAACACCGAUGCGAAGCAAUCCC